AAUUUUCGGCAAUGGGGGCAACCCUGACCGAGCGACGCCGCGUGAGUGAAGAAGGUCUACGGAUUAAAAAGCACUGUUGUAAGGGAAGAACCGUACCAGUAGGGAAUGACUGGUACCUGACGGUACCUUACCAGCAAGCCACGGCUAACUACGUGCCAGCAGCCGCGGUAAGACGUAGGUGGCAAGCGUUAUCCGGAAUUAUUGGGCGUAAAGGGAGCGCAGGCGGCUUAUUAAGUCUGAGGUUAAAGUUCGGGGCUCAACCCCGUGAUGCCUUAUAAACUGCUAGGCUAGAGUGCAGGAGAGGUGAGUGGAAUUCCAUGUGUAGCGGUAAAAUGCGUAGAUAUAUGGAGGAACACCAGUGGCGAAGGCGGCUCACUGGCCUGUAACUGACGCUGAGGCUCGAAAGCGUGGGGAGCAAAUA
rnacentral:rRNA from 1 species